GACAGAGGUGCCGAGCGUUAGGCGGAAUCACUGGGCCUAAAGCGUGUGUAGGCGGGUCGUUAAGUGUCUUGUGAAAUCCCACCGCUCAACGGUGGAACUGCUGGGCAUACUGGCGAUCUUGAGCCACCUAGGGGCAGACGGAACAAGCGGUGGAGCGGUGAAAUGCGUAGAUAUCGCGUGGAACGCCGACGGUGAAAACCGUCUGCUGGGGGUGUGCUGACGCUGAGACACGAAAGCCAGGGGAGCGAACGGG
rnacentral:rRNA from 1 species